GGGGAUUUAGCUCAGUGGUUAGAGCGCUUGCCUACCAAGCGCAAGGCCUUGGGUUCGGUCCCCAACUCCG
rfam:Rattus norvegicus chromosome 3, whole genome shotgun sequence.